GACGAACGCUGGCGGCGCGCUUAACACAUGCAAGUCGAACGGAAAGGCCUGCUUUUCCUUGUGGAUUUCGGGUACUCGAGUGGCUAACGGGUGCGUAACACGUGUGUGUUCUGCCCCCAACUUGGUUCUAAGCCUGGGAAACUGGGUCUAAUUCCCGUUUGAACUGCAGGGUGGUGCCUUUGGUGGCGAACGUUUUUCUAGUGAUUGGGGAUGAGCUCGCGGCCUAUCUGCUUGUUGGUGAGGUAAUUGCCUACCAAGACGGAGACGGGUAGCCGGACUGGGAGGGUGGACGGCGACAUUGGGACGGGGAUACGGCCCAGACGGCUACGGGAGGCAGGAGAGGGGAAGAAUGGAGAAUGGGCGGAAGGGUGAUGCAGCGAGGGAGUGUGGGGGAUGACGGGAUUGGGGUUGUAAACUACUAGGGACGGAGAGGAAGGCAAGUGGUUGGAAGGGUGGUGACGGUAGUGGUAGAAGAAGCACCGGCUAACUACGUG
rnacentral:rRNA from 1 species